CAGUCGCCACGGUAACACGUAGGUGGCAAGCGUUGUCCAGAAUUAUUGGGCGUAAAGGGCUCGCAGGCGGUUUCUUAAGUCUGAUGUGAAAGCCCCCGGCUCAACCGGGGAGGGUCAUUGGAAACUGGGGACCUUGAGUGUGGGAGAGGCGAGUGGAAUGGUCGGUGUAGCGGUGAAAUGCGUAGAUAUCGAUCGGAACACCCAUGGCGAAGGCAGCUCGCUGGCCUAACACUGACGCUGAGGCGCGAAAGCGUGGGGAGCAAACAGGAUUAGAUACCCGGGUAGUCCCUGUCUCUUAUAC
rnacentral:rRNA from 1 species